rnacentral:rRNA from 1 species
AGCUGAUCACUGGGUGUAAAGAGUGCGCAGGCGGUUUUGUAAGACAGAGGUGAAAUCCCCGGGCUCAACCUGGGAACUGCCUUUGUGACUGCAAGGCUGGAGUGCGGCAGAGGGGGAUGGAAUUCCGCGUGUAGCAGUGAAAUGCGUAGAUAUGCGGAGGAACACCGAUGGCGAAGGCAAUCCCCUGGGCCUGCACUGACGCUCAUGCACGAAAGCGUGGGGAGCAAACA